UGUUAAUUCAUUCAGUUCUAAAUCACUGGAUGGAAUUCAGUCAGUGGUUGUCCUUAAACUCAAUUAAAAAAAAUCUAAGCAAAUUGAUUUUCACGGUUUGGAAAAUUCAGCAGUCUCUAAAAACCAACUUGUCAAACUUGAGUUUGUGGAGAAAAAGCUUAAUGCUUGCAUGUCCUUGUAUGUCAAAGGGAAGGGCAAAAGUGGAUUGAAUCCAGGCCACGCUCUUUCUUUUAUUAAGCCUCUCAGAAGUAGGCCGAACCGUCCAAUAUCCUGUGACCUCUCGCUAUCUCCGGAAGACACACACUAGGCCUUGCCUACAGAUACAGAUUCAACAGCAGCCAUCCGUACACUGGUUCAACCUUUUACCAAGUACUGCUCAACACUCAGACGCAACACAGACCUAAACAUGGUCAUGCGCAAGGGGAUGAAGAAAUUCCUAGAACGAGUUAAAAGCUCGCAGCCGUAGUCCGGUGGAAAUCUAUUUUCGCGUCGUGCGCUUGAACGAUGAUUGUAUUCACUGGCCGCUGUUUCCAAAAGCAGUCUCCACCCCAUGCCAAAAGGGACAUUCCGGGGAGGAACCAUUUCCAGUGGACAAGAGAGCAAUUGUUGUGAUAAAUGUGCCUCGAACCAUCUCACGCAUAUUUCUCCAGAUUGCAUUAAAGUGUUUUAUUCUCCGGG